rnacentral:misc_RNA from 1 species
GUCGUCAUCGUCUAUUUCUUGUUUUGCCUUCAAUGAUACUGGCUUGCUACUCAAAGGAGUAGAUGAGUCUGAAAGCUUUGGCUUUUUCAUUGAAAUUUGAGAAGAGGAAUGGGAAUCUGCACUAGGAAGAGGUCUCUUGCUGGAAAGAAUAGCAGGCUUUUGCAGUUUAUCCCUUGAGGUCGAACCAUUCUGAUGAACUUUUG